CUGCAAUAUCGCUUCUGCUGAACGCCAGACGCAGGGAGGCAUUCGCCCUUAACAAGCCAAGACUUGACUCCAGCACCGAAACGAUGGCCAUUCUAUGAUUCUAUGAAGAGAAACACUGAGAGGAUCCAUCUUGCAUCACUGGCACUCGGAGCUGCUGAAGUUGAAGCAAAAGAAAGCGCCUCGGAUCCUUUUUAUCCUCUGCUCCUGUAAUUUCUGCAUGUCCAAACAGAUUUUGGAGCCUGUUUAUAACUGAAGCCAAAGGAAUUUUGCCCCAGAGAAGACAGCUGGAUGCAGUCCCACAUUUCCCGUCUCCUGAAGAUGCCAGAAGCUGUGCACUUGCUUGCAAAGAGCCGAAGCCACGGAGGGGAGCGGGGUGAGGUUGGUUUGUAGCACUGCUGGAUGUAAGGGCACCUGGAGGUCCUCCACCAUCCUGGAGAGCUGUAUGGGAAGCCUUCGUGUGGUCCUCAUUCCCUCUGCUCUUGGGUAAUGCAAAAACCUUCAAAUGUGAGACCUGAAGGAGGGCAGCUGUAUACGAUGGGAUGAUUUGGGGUCUCCCUGUCUUCAUCACUCAAUCCUAGGGUUUGGCAAAAUUCACCCCGUGUUCAGGUGGUAUAUGCAGUCAGAUAGGCCAUUCUCCCUCCAUCCCCACGCUCUCACACUGCUGUCCUCACAGAGCCUAGAAAAGGGUGCAGUCCAUCCCCAUCCAGACCCAUCCUCACCAACCCAAACAGCUACAGAAGCUGGGCCCCUGCCCCGAGCACACACGAACCAGCAGAUACUCAAAGGCACAAAGCAUUUCUUCAGCGCUGGAGAUUCAAAUCCCCUACUUUGUUUGGUGUUGUUUUGUUGUGUGUUUUUCUUUUUUUUUCCCCCAGCAGCAUUUAACAAGCUGAUGAUGUUUGUUUAUGAAGUGAAAUGCACGUGAUUUAUUUGAUCUGCUGGAGCUGGAGAGCUGCAUUCCCACGCCAGGGACAGGCAGAAAUGCUGCCUUCAUCCCCUCUGUUGGAAACUGCUCAGAUGGAGUAUUGUACAGUCAGAGGCGCUGUGCUGCGCUUUCAGCUGCUUCAGAGCAGGGCAUUAAAUGCUUAUUAGGGACCUCCCAACUUCCCAGCCAUAAAGUUACACUUGUUCUUGUCUGUCUCUGCACGUGGAGACGGACUUAAUGAUGUGUUCCUGCAGCUGACACAGGUCUGGGGAGGUGCUGGGGCACCUGGGCUGUAGUCUGGAUGUGACUUGAAUGAUGGUAGGGAGGUUCUUCUUGUGCUUUGCUGGUGGGUUGGGUUGAACACAUUUUACCUGGUUUGCAGGAGCUGUGGUUUAAUUAAUUGCUUUGCAAGAAGGCUCUGUAGAGGGAAUGUCUAGUUCUGUCUCUUACAACACCUGGAGAUGCACUUCAUCUCAUCACCCAGACAAGAGCCUGGCUGCCAAGGAAGCUAAGGAAACCGAUCCAUUAGCUGAUGGAAGAUGAAGUGCAGAACGUGAACUAUGAGACUUACAGCUCCUUGGGGAGAGCACAUCGAGCAUCACCUAUCCUGCAGGUGGGACAGGAGCCAGAUCCUCACCUGGUGUGAGCCAGCAGCACAUGGCCCAGGGCUGGGCACCAGCAAAGGUCCCCCUGCCUCACCUGGGGCUGCAACCUCACCACAAAGCCUUACACCAGAGCUUGAGGAUGUGUCACUACCAGGGCCUUCCCCCCAUCCUUGCAUAUAAAACACUUUGCAAAUGAAGUGUGAAGAUAAUAUGCUUUAUCAUAGGCACUUAUUACUGGUGAUUGUUGAAUAAAUCUCCCUCCAUUCACAUACCUAUACAUAAGGUGUAUAUAAAUAUGCAGCCAGUAUCCGGCCCAGAGCCUUUAUGACGAUGUCAAUGUAGCCCCCAUAAAGAUAGUGGGAAAUGAUUCAUAAUAUUUAUAUGACAGACACGAUAUGAACUGUAAUAGCCUGUUGGGAUCGAGAAUAUCCAUAGGUCUCUGUCAGCCACAAAUGUGAUUUAAAUAUUAUAUAUGUGGCAACUGUAGCAUUAGUAAUAUGAUAGCUGUUAUUGAUAGUGGUCAUAAAACGCAGUAGUUUUGCGCUGAAGAAUGUGAAAAAUAAUCUAGUGGUUUUCCUAAUGGUCUCCCCAGCAAUGCACAGAAGGAACUGUACUUUCAGUGCUUCUUCUUUCACUGCCUCCCUCCCCCCCCCCCCAAGCCAAACUGCCAUUGGAUUCUAUCAGAUUACUGCUGGGGCCAUGCUUCGUUCUGCUGAUGUCAGCUUGUGGGUCUGUCUGAUGGGCUGGGGGGGUUCUGCUGGGCUGUGGGGUCAGGGUUUGCUCCUCUGCAUGGAACAGGGCUCAGUGCUGCCAUGCUGGCUGCGAAGGGAAGAGUUUGUCCAGCAGCUGCACAAGGUUGUUCCCUCCUUUGCAAUGGCAAAGGGUCAUCAGUGAGUAUGAGUUUGCACAGCCCCACAGGAGAGCUGAUACCAUCAACCCUCACCUUCUCACUGUCUGAGCAUCACACAGAUGCACAACGGGUGGGUUUCGCACUGCAGCAGUGCUCCUCAGGGCACAGCAAUGGGUGGGAGCUCAGGGGCCCCCACUGUGAGGGACCAGCACCCAAGCAGUGACAACCAACAAAGGUCCUCAUCCCUCCUCACCAUCAGACUGCCUUCCUCUCCCAACUCCAUCCUGUUCUUUCCUGAGGGCAAACGAAAGGGGAAAAUCACUCCACCCCACAGCCAUUAGUUACAACAGCCCCUAUUUUUCCUCCCUUAGCACAAGCAAGAGAGGACGCAGCUUGCCCAGGUGGAUGCAGCAUCACGGUUUUGCUUUGGUGGGGUCUGCAAGGGGUUUGUUUAACCAACACCAACAUUGCAUCUGGGACAGCUAUCAGGAAGCCUGCUCCAUCCCUUCACAUCACAGAGAGUAAAUCAAGACAACGAAACAUCCUCGAAACAGCAACAGGAUGGUGGUGGGGCUGAGGAAGAGAGAAGGGUGAAGGCACUAAAUGGGUCAGUCCCCAUGGACACCCAGCAGAGCCACACAUCGCUUCUCAAUGACCUUCCGUGGGUUUCCAAAAUGUAACAAAGUGCAUUUUAUAGAAGAAAGCAAAAGUGCAUUGCAAAGUGAGGGUCUGGGUGUAAUGUGGCAGAAGUUUUCUACACCAUUUGCAUUGCAAACAGGCUGAUCUUCCUCUUCCUCACCCUGGCGGGAGCCAGGCAUUGCUCCAGGCAGAGCUGUGGGCCCAUUUCUGCCAUCGUUUGCACUGACAUAAAUCAGGAAUUUACUCAGUUGAAAUAAGUGGGGCUGCACCAGUAUAAAACCAGUGUGAGAUCGGAAUUACAGUGCUAUAAAAGCAGCAUGAGAUUAGAAUCAGCCUGAGUAUAUUGCAGCGAUGGUUUGAGGAAAGCCUAGGGAAAUUACCAAUAUUGGAAUUGGAAAAAGAAGAGAAAAAAAAUGGCAUAUGAUUUCCUGAUGAUUUGGGAAAUCAAAUCCUCAAGGCCAGCACUUGUGUUCCUCCCUCCCACCGCAAUGCCAGCACUGGUGAGAGCUGUGCCAGAGCAGUGAAUCUCUAUUAUCCCUCUUCUGGAUGAAGCAGCUGGGAGAUGCUUUAUAAGAAGACGCCGUAUAAAAAUAAAUGGAAUUGAA